rnacentral:Y_RNA from 1 species
GGCUGGUCCGAAGGUAGUGAGUUUUCUCAAUUGUUCACAGUCAGUUACAGAUUGAACUCCUUGUUCUACUCAUUCCCCUUUCUCACUAUUGCAUUUGACUAGUCUUAA